AAUAAGUGCAGACAUGAGUUUUCGCGCCCAACUUUAAUCAUCCGUCUUAUUUGAAAUUUUUUUAUAAUUAGCAUUUUUGUUGUUAUGAGAUGAUAAAACAUGAAAA
rnacentral:pre_miRNA from 1 species